UGGGAAGCAGGUUAAUAUUCCUGCACCGUCGUAUGAUGCGAUGGGGGGACGGAUCGCGGAAGGUUGUCUGCCUGUUGGAAUAGGCAGUUUCUGGUUCAUAGAAGGCACUUAGGCAAAUCCGGGUGCGGAAUUCAAGGGACUGGGACGAAGAACUUCGGUUCUGUAGCAAUCGGAAGUGGUUCCAAGAAAAGCCUCUAAGCUUCAGUCAUACGAGACCGUACCGCAAACCGACACAGGUGGGCGAGAUGAGUAUUC
rnacentral:rRNA from 1 species